GCACUUUGGCAUGGCCCAUCCCCUAAUUUCUGACCAGAAGCCCUCCCUCUACCCUAAGCUCGUGCGUCACGACGCCGCCAGCUGAUCGGAGCCUGGAGCCGGUGUGUGCUGGGUGCCGAGAAGAGACAGCGCCGCCGGCCGUGGGGAGCGGACGCAGUGAUUUGCUCCCCCUCGUGCAGCAACCCCCACACCCAGCACCAGGCCCCCAGAACUCUCCUUCCAGCUGAACUCCCUGGGAACAAGUCAGUUGGGCUGAUCACUGAACUCACAUUUCUGGACCUGAGGAGCCUGUUCCUCUCACGCCCUCACCUGGCUGAGCCGCAGUAGUUCUUCAGUGGCAAGCUUUAUGUCCUGACCCAGCUAAAGCUGCCAGUUGAAGAACUGUUGCCCUCUGCCCCUGGCUUCGAGGAGGAGGAGGAGCUGCUUUCCCCAUCAUCUGGAAGGUGACAGAAAUGGGCUGGGAAGGUCCGAACAGCAGGGUGGAUGAUACGUUUUGGGCAAGUUGGAGAGCCUUUGCCCAGAUUGGCCCAGCAAGGAGCGGUUUUAGAUUAGAGACACUGGCUGGAUUGAGGAGUAGAAGGCUCAAACAACCCAAGGUGGUAUGUGAUCCCCAGCUCAGGCCUGUGCAGACAGGAAAUUCUCCCCUGCAGCAAGUAGGGGAGGUGGGUUGUGGGAUGUGACCUCCUUCCAGAUAUCAGGCAGUGAGUGUAAACCUGCCACCUCCAGCCCUGAUCCAUUCUCACCUAGCGGCUACAGGAAGCUGUGUCUGUUCGAUUUGGUGGGAGGAGAUGUGCAGGGAGCUGUAUCUUGUCCUCCGCUUGUGAAAAACUCAAGGAUGUGGAGAAGAGUAGACCGUGGAACCCUGCUCUUCUGCAGCCAAGCUGAGGGGCAGGAUGCGUGUGGGACAGUGGUAGAGAAGCAGGGGAUAGACUCAUAGGCUGCAACAAAGGUGACUCUGUCCCUGGACACUGCCUCCGUACUUUCUCCUUGCUUCACUGGCCACAGCAUCUCCCUCCAGCCCUCGCUAUGUGCCUCUGCCAUCUUCACCCAUCAUGGAGCAGAGGUGAGGAGAGGCAGCCUGGGAAUAUGGAGACCAGUGAAGGACCAGGCCUGGAGAGCACAGGGUCCUACCUGGGCAUCCAGCAGAGGAGCCCCUAAAGGCCAGGAGCACCCCAAGAGGAGGGAGGGCAGCCAGCCUCCAUUGACGGCGAGCCUCCAGCCCUCUCCUACUUUGAUCACCAUUUCUCUCCAGGCUUUCUGCCUCCGAGAUGUGGCACCAUAGUGCGGUGCCCUGUGGCUUCACCGCCCUACUUCCACCUCCGCCCAGCCUGUAAUGUUUAUAUAAGCAGCCUCAAGGACCAAGAACCAUCUGCGAAAGGACACACACAGGAAAUUCAUAAAAGAAAUCUGAAUGGAUAAAACCAUGAAAAAAAGUAUGCUUCAUUAGUAAUUAAAGAAAGGCAAAUAGAGCUGGAAGCAUUUUUCCCUUAGCAAACCAUAACAGAAAAAAAUAAGACCCAAUAUUGGCAAAGAGACUACUGAAAAAACAUUCCCAUACAUUGCGUGUGGGAGUAUACAUCGGUGCAGGCUUCCUGGAUGACAGUUGGGUGAUAUGUGUCAUGUGGCCUAAAAGCCUCCAUGUCAUUUGACCUACGAAUUCUAUCUUUGGGAAUUUAUCCUAAGAAAAUACUUAAGGAUUUAGUUAGUGAUAAGAUGUUCAUCCCAGCAUUGCAAUGGAGAAAAAUGGGAAGCAAUGGUUUGGUUGGGAAUUUAUUCCUUUUCUGCUGUAACGAAAGUUUGCAAUAGGGGAUUGCUUAAGUAAAUUAUUGUAUCUCCAUCCAGAUGGUGGAGUACCGCGCAGACAUUAAAAGUCAUGUAAAAGAACAUCUGACUGAAAGAAAAAUGCUCCUUGAAUAUUAAAAGGUUGUAAAAAUAGUGCAUGUUAUGUGAUUUCAAUUUUGUUUUUUAAAAUAUGGGUGUAUGCUUGUAUACGUAGAGCAGAUAAAAAAGACGGAAGGCAUACUAAAAAAUGUUGAGUGGUUAUCUUUGUAUGGUGGAACAAAGUCACUGUAAUUUUCAUCUUUGGUUUUUCUGUAAUUUCCAAAUUUUCCACAUUUUGUAUUUCAUAUAAUAUAAUUUAAGAGAUCAGUGUUAUUAUUUAAACCUUUGGAGAGGUGGGGGUAGAAGAAUGAAGGGAAGACCUCAGCUUUUUGGUGAGAAGGUUUGGUUGGGGCACCUCUUGGUUUAUGAACUUAAUUCUUUGAAGUAGCUGGAAUCCUCCCUCUCAGCCUGCAGGAAACAGCUCUGACUUGCUGACUGUCUGCCAGCUGAAGAGGUGGAGUGGAGUAAGGUGGAAGGAAAGCAGUGCAACCUGGGGCUCUUCAGGUGGUGAGGGGCUGGGGGAGGCUCUUCCUCUUAAGGCUGGAGGGUUCUGGAAUCCUAACCGCCCUGCUACUAAGAGCAGGACAGGUCUGUUUUUCUCUUCUGACUCUGUCCCAGCCUUGAAGGGACCCUGUGUUACCUUUCCUUGCCCUCGGAUUGAAGAUAUUCUACCCACCCAACGGGUACCAAGCCCUUGGGGAAGGAAGUGCUUUUCAAGACUGGGGGCCAGCGAUUCCCUUUUGCGUCCUCUUCCUAAUGAGGCUCCUCCGUAGGGCCGAAAACAAUGCUGGGGGUCGGGGCGG
rnacentral:lncRNA from 10 species